UGGGGAAUAUUGCACAAUGGGCGCAAGCCUGAUGCAGCCAUGCCGCGCGUAUGAAGAAGGCCUUCGGGUUGUAAAGUACUUUCAGCGGGGAGGAAGGGAGUAAAGUUAAUACCUUUGCUCAUUGACGUUACCCGCAGAAGAAGCACCGGCUAACUCCGUGCCAGCAGCCGCGGUAAUACGGAGGGUGCAAGCGUUAAUCGGAAUUACUGGGCGUAAAGCGCACGCAGGCGGUUUGUUAAGUCAGAUGUGAAAUCCCCGGGCUUAACCCGGGAAUUGCAUCUGAUACUGGUCAGCUAGAGUCUUGUAGAGGGGGGUAGAAUUCCAUGUGUAGCGGUGAAAUGCGUAGAGAUGUGGAGGAAUACCGGUGGCGAAGGCGGCCCCCUGGACAAAGACUGACGCUCAGGUGCGAAAGCGUGGGGAGCAAACAGG
rnacentral:rRNA from 1 species